rfam:Oryza nivara chromosome 1, whole genome shotgun sequence.
AAAAAAACAAACCCUGAGUUUCCGUGUCCAACUUUAACUGUCUGUCUUAUAUGAAUUUUGUUUAUAAUUCGUAUUUUCGUUGUUGUUAGACGAUAAAACAUGAUGAAUAUUUUAUGUGUGACUUAUCUUUUUAAUUUUUUAUAUAUUUUUUUAAAUAAAACGGACGGUUAAAUGUUAAGCACGGAAAUCAGGGUU